rnacentral:rRNA from 1 species
AGAGUUUGAUCCUGGCUCAGAACGAACGCUGGCGGCAGGCCUAACACAUGCAAGUCGAGCGCCCGCAAGGGAGCGGCAGACGGGUGAGUAACGCGUGGGAACGUGCCCUUUGGUUCGGAAUAUUCCCGGGAAACUGGGAGCAAAACCGGAUAAGCCCUUCGGGGGAAAGUUUACGCCAAAGGAUCGGCCCGCGUUAGAUUAGGUAGUUGGUGGGGUAACGGCCUACCAAGCCUACGAUCUAUAGCUGAUCUGAGAGGAUGAUCAGCCACACUGGGACUGAGACACGGCCCAGACUCCUACGGGAGGCAGCAGUGGGGAAUCUUGGACAAUGGGCGCAAGCCUGAUCCAGCCAUGCCGCGUGGAUGACUGAAGGCCCUAGGGUUGUAAAGUCCUUUCGACGGGGACGAUAAUGACGGUACCCGUAGAAGAAGCCCCGGCUAACUUCGUGCCAGCAGCCGCGGUAAUACGAAGGGGGCUAGCGUUGUUCGGAUUUACUGGGCGUAAAGGGCGCGUAGGCGGAUUUUUAAGUCGGGGGUGAAAUCCCGGAGCUCAACUCCGGAACUGCCUUCGAUACUGGAAGUCUGGAGCACGGUAGAGGUGAGUGGAAUUCCGAGUGUAGAGGUGAAAUUCGUAGAUAUUCGGAGGAACACCAGUGGCGAAGGCGGCUCACUGGACCGUUGCUGACGCUGAGGCGCGAAAGCGUGGGGAGCAAACAGGAUUAGAUACCCCGGUAGU